rnacentral:rRNA from 1 species
CAAUAGCGUAUAUUAAAGUUGUUGCGGUUAAAAGGCUCGUAGUUGGAGUUCUGCCAGGUGCCGCCUGUCCGCCCCAGUGGUGAGUACGUGGCGCGCAUUUGGCCCUUUCAAGGGGAGCGUAUCUGCACUUUAUUGUGUGGUGCGGGAUCCUUGACUUUUACUUUGAGGAAAUAGGAGUGUUCCAAGCAGGCUCUCGUCGUGCACAGCUCAGCAUGGAAUAAUAGCAUUGGACCUCGAUUCUAAGCUGUUGGUUGCCAGAAGCGAGGUAAUGAUGAAGAGGGAUAGUUGGGGGCAUUCGUAUUUAACUGUCGGAGGUGAAAUUCUUGGAUUUGUUAAAGACGGACUACUGCGAAAGCAUCUGCCAUGGAUGUUUUCAUUGA